rnacentral:tRNA from 1 species
GCAUCAUUGGUCUAGUGGUUAUGACGUCCGCCUAACACGCGGAAGGUCCCCAGUUCAAUCCUGGGAUGAUGUA